CUGCUGACCACCACUGACAUUCGAGUGCAAGAUGACGGCAACAUCCAGCAGCAAUGUCCGCACUUUCCUGCCAAACGACUUAACUUCCUUCCACUUUAAUGUACUUUCAUCAGUUUGUGUUUGUCUAAAAACUCUUAAAGGCGAUGGAGGAGGAAAGAAAUCUAAGCAAACCUGAGGGGUCAGUUCCCGAGACAGAGGUUGGAAAUCUGCAUCUGGGGGAGAGCCAGUUCGGUCCCUCUGUAGCCUAAAUGGAGCAAGGUGACUGGGAAGGGGGCAGGCUUCCAGCAUCUGCUCCUCCAGGACAGCCCCUUCUUUCAGCAUGGCACACGCGCCGCUGAGCACAAGGGGUCGAGCCCGGAGAACACCGGGACACCCAGCCCGACCCUAACUGUCCAGCCUGCCUGCAGCUGCCGCUGGAACACGUGCGAGAGGCCGCUCAGUCGCCGAGAGCUGCGCUGUCCAGCCCUUUCCCGCGUCGAUCCCGCGCGGAAUCCCCUCAGGCGCCGUGAAUGGUGCUCACGGGACCCCACCCUUCCGCACCGCGCCGGCAGGUGGUCAGAUCCCAGGGGUGGCGAGUCUAUGGCUGAGCGACCUUGCUCCCCAAACAUCUGCCUUAGCGGCCUUGCAGACCUAGGCAUUUCAUUUUUUUUUUCUCCUCGCAAAAUGAGAUUAAUCUUUACUAAGGCAAAGUCAUGUUUUUUAAAAUGAGUUUGAGCCUGAAAACUUUAAUUUUAUAUUAUGUAGUUAUUAAAGAAUACGUAUUGUGGGGAAACUGACCAACUACAAUGCUAAAUGAAAAGGACAGGCUACACAGCUGUAUGGCAUACUUUGAAAAGAAAAUAGUUUUGGAGUGUUUGUAAGGGCCAGGCACUGAGUGAGCUAAAUCUGGAAUUUGUGGAUCAAUAAAACACAGUUCCUGCCUUGAAGGAGAGAAGCUAUUGGUUGGCAACAAAACCCUUAGCCGACAUAGGUCACUGGUUCUCAAAGUAGAUGUGGCUACCCCACCCCACCCCACUUUAUCCCUAAAGUGGGAUUCCAGAAGGCCAGAACUAUUUUCAUAAUUGUGGAAAAUAUAAUGGAAUUUCCCUCUGUGCAUUUGGAAAGGCUGUAUAACUUAGUGAACCAACAUUAUCCACUUGAUCAAUGCAUCAUGUUACAAAAUCAUGCGUGGAUUGUAUUUUGGAGAGCUAAUUCUGUCAGUUACUAGGAAUCAUCAUUUGCCUUGCCAUGUCUUGCUGAAUCUGCUUUCUACGUUGGGGUAGUAGUGACUCUUACAGAUCCAGGGACAUCACGCUGUGACAACGGAAGCGGAAAUCACAGUGCUGUCCCCACCAGCCAAGGAACACCAGGGAUGGCCAGCAAAUACCAGAAGCUGGAAAAGGCAAGAAACAGUCCUGCCCUCCAGGUUUCCAUGGAAGCACGGCCCUGCUGACCCCUGGAUUUGGGACUGACAGCUUCUGGGACUGUGAGGCAGGGAAGUUCUAUUGUUUUAAGCCCCCCAGGUUGUGUACUUUUUAUGGCAGUCCUAGGUGACCCUUGGCUUUCCUCUUUAAUUCAUAUUUUAAAAGUUCCUCUUCUGUCUGCCAUUCACCUGUUUCCCUUUGCAUUUUCUUAAUUUCUACCUAGGUCAAAUCUAUGUUGAGAUUUUACUUCUGCCCAGCAACCAUAGGGACUUGAUUAAUGGUGUUGUUUAUAGGAACCCCACUGUCCCAAAGGUGACAAUUUCUUUGAUCUCCUAUGUCAUGUACAUGAUAAGAUAGGAACCAAAAACUGCACCGGUAAAAUCUUCCCACCCAUUGUGUCCAUCAAAUCUAAAACUGCUCUGUUAAGGCAGUGGGUUUUGGUCUACCCAGCAUCAAGGAGAAACUAUCACUCGCUCACUCACCUGGAUCCAACCUCCUACUUCUCCUAUACCAAUCUCUUUCACGGUCAUGACUCACUUCGUACUUCCUCUGUAGAUGAAUCUGUGGUCCAGUCACUCAAACCAAUUCUGAAAGAAACCUGAGAAGUUCAGGUCUAUUGCUCUGUGAUGGCAGCUGAACUCCACACCCCUGGGCUCAUUUUGCACGUUGUACAUUGCAUUCCUUUAUCAACGUGAGUCCACUCUACUUUUAGGUUAUUGUCUAAUUGCCUGUCUCCUCCACACAACUGCAAGCAGGACCUGUCUUUCAUCUUUGUUUCCCCGAGGCUUAGCACAGUGAUUGGCACACAGUAGGCCUCUAGAUAUAUAUAUUCAAUUGAAUGAGAGGAAUGAGGGAAAGGCAGCAUCAGGCCAUCCUUGCUGCUUCCCUCUCUUUCUGACAACUGGAUGGGCUUCAGAUUGUUCAGCUAUCCAGCACCUACAUGUGAGUAUAGACAAAGGAUUUCCGAAACCACUACAAGAUAAAUUAUGUUCUAGGGCACCUGGCUGGCUCAGUCGGAAAAGCAUGCUAUGCUUGAACUUGGGGUCGUGAGUUCAAGCCCCACACUGGGUGUAGACAUGACUAAAAACAAUCAAUAAACUUAAAAAAAAAAAAAAAAGAUAAGUUAAGUUCUAGGGAAGUUUCAGAAACUCUGCUGGUAGAACCACAUAAACAAGGGGAUUUAACAUUCCUCUUUAUGUUGUUUCAGUGCAAUUACGUAUGUAUAGGAACUGGGGUUGGUUCAAAGGUUAAAGUGAGGUGAUUGUUUUGAUUUGGCAAUUAUUUAUGUCCUUCUGGACAUAACUAUGGGAUUGGAAUAUUUAUUUAUAAGGGAUUCAUCACAAGUGAGCACCCCACCAGGGGCCAAAAAGAUAUGAAAGAAUAACAACCUGAGUUUUCUGAGCCAGCAGAUAGUAGUCUGUCCUCAUGUGCAGGCCAAGGAGGUUCUACCUCUGCAAACAUGCUGACCAGCUUGGACUCAGAUGGACCCUGAGUGAGCAAGCCUGACUCCGAGGAGGAAGGAACACUCGUAGAAGUGGUGGGAUCCUGAUACUAAUUUUGGAUAGUCCCUAGAACCCCAUGUUCGUCUCACUGAGUGUCCUUUAAUAGACCCUGACUUGGUGCUCUUCUGUUCUUCCCCUGAAAACAUGCCUAUUGUAGGUUACAAUCCUGAUCUCUGGUGCUGAUACCUCUCCUUUACUCCAUUACAGUUGAUCUGCGUAGUAUCCGCAACCAAACCUGCUCCACCAGCCACCAGAUGACUCGAACAUCUGUUCAGGAUCUUUCUGAUGUGUUAUUCAUCCCAGAAACAGUGUUCUCAUCUCCAUAUUAUGGAUGGUUGAGGAAACCAAAGCUCUGAGAGGUUGUGACUCGCCUCAGGUCACCAACUGUUAAGUGGAGAAGCCAGGACUGAUCCUGCUGCCCAGGCAGAGCCUGCACCACAACCACUGUACUCUACCGCCCCCUAGUGGGCCCUGGUCUAACGGUGUUUCCCCAACACAGCACUCAGGUAGGAGCACCCCGGUGUCCCUCCCCACUGGGCAAGAAGGCAUUUUGCAGUCCCUCCUCUCAGCCCUGGCACCACACUGGCUGUGUAUGGCCAGGGAUAGCCCGGUAGCCCUGGCCUCAGGCACUCACCCCCAAAAAGCAGCCUUGGGUGGGGUGGUUGUCAUGUGUUGGUUACAAUGUUUCAUCCCUUCCUGUAGGAGCCUCUCUGAUGUUAGGGUUUCCCUACGUCUCUUUGGUUGUGUUGAUCUUUGCAACCAUGAAGAAACUCCUGGAUUUCUAGAUCCCAGCUACACAAAGUGUUUUCCAAAGUCGACAACUCUCCCAGUGUCUCUCCUGAUCUGAGUGGCAUGUGUGGGGUUGUGAGUGGGGGAUCUACCCUUGGAGAAGCGCCUUUUCCACUGCACACAAGCCCUUGGGGUUGUCUUCGGGAUUUCGGGCCAGGAAGUCCUGGUCCAGUGGGCGACACCGAUACCAUUUGUUGUUUGAUGCAGGAUUCACACAUUGCAUUUGGUGGCUCUGUAUGUUUAGUCUCUUUUGACCUAGAAUAAUCCUUCCUCCCACCUGAUAGAUGAUUGUUUUGUCUCACGGAACUUUUUGGGAGAGUCCUGGUGAGUUGUUGUAGAUGGUCUCCUCUUUUGUCUAAUAGUUUCUCCAUGGUUGGAUUCAGGUUAAAUAUUUCUGGCAAGAAUACUUUGUCGAUGACAUUUUAUACUUACUGUCUUUUAUACUUAUUGUCUUAUAUUACAAGGCACAAAAAAAAUCCUCAUUUGGAAUGACACACUCGACAAAUAUAUAUUGAUGGCAUGUCGCAUGGGGGUCGAGAACUCUGCUGGGCAACGAGGAUGCCUGGGUGCCGCUGAUAGGAUUAUGAGGGAAGAGAUAACUAAACCAAACAAAACCAAACCCCACAGGGGCAGGCUUACCGAUUGGGAAUCAGCUUGGCUACACAGAACAGAAAACUCAACUCACAGUAGGGGAUUUUUUUAGUUCCCACGGAUCCAUGGCUUCUGACCCACCACCCGGGACAUUUGAUCUUCCAGGGAGGAAGGAGAAAAGGGGCAUGCCUACUGCCUGCUCAGCUUUGAAGUAGUUUUCCCAAAACCAGGACCCGUUCUGGAGGCUGGAUGUCCUAGAUCAAGGGGUCAGCAGGAGUGGUUUCCUCAGGGACCUCUCCCUCCUUGCUUUGUGGAUGACUGUUUGCUCCCUGUAUCUUCACAUGGUCUUCCCGCGAUGUCAACAACAUGGUGAAGUAGUCUUCUGCUGUCUUCUUUGGGAGGAACUCUGAUUUUGACAGUUGCCCACGGAUGAGAAUGCUUUGGGGAAGUCUAGGAGUUCAGCAGAGAAGCUCCAGCACAUCACUGAAGAAAAAAAAUCAGGACUGGACACAUGAAAAUGUGUUGAAAAAGAAAGCAUCCUGUGCGGUUAUCCGGGAGGCCUCAUGAACUUGGCCCGACAUCGCAGCUGUCCUUGACCUCCGCAGCCAUUGCCCCAGAAACCAGCUGGCUUCCCGCAGCUGAGAACUGGCAGCCCCUGCCUCAGCUCCCCCCAGCGCUUCUGUUUUCUGCUCUGAAUAUGUCUCUUAGCACUCAGGAACAAGAGAUGACACAGACACAGGAGAACCCCUCGUGAAGUCAGAGGUGGAAACUGGAGCCAUGUGUUUGCGAACCAAAGACUGAUAAGGAUUGCUGGCAAGCCCAGAAGCAACAAGAAAGGUGUGGAGCAGUUGGUCUCCUAGACCAGGGAGCCUCCCCCUGCCCUGCUCCUUGGUGCAGACCUCUGGGCUCCAAAACUGUGAGAGAAUUCAUUUCCAUCGUAUGAUGUCCCCCUGCCCCUGGGGGACUCUGGGUUGUAACCAGUGCCUUGGAGUGAGCACACCCUAGACGGGGGUCUCGAGUUCCUGUCCAGCACCCUACCAGGCACAGGUUUCAGACCACCCCCAAGGGACUUCACAUGCAAGCACUUGGGAUCCAGGAACAACGAGAGAAUUCUCCAUAAAAGCAUGGCACGUGUUGCUGGUUGAGAUCAGAAGCACCCCCAGAAAGGGGAAGAAAAAAUGCAGGAAACAGGAAUUCCAGGGGAUCCAGGAAGAGCAACAUCAUCCAACCUGUUGAAUGAUCUGCCCAUGUUCUCUGGAGUCCAGAAGGGUGGCUGCUGACAUCCAGUCCUGCUAGUCACUUGGGAUCUGUGGCAUGUUGCUUUCCAGCAGAAAGAAGCUUUCUCAGAGGGAAUCUAAAAUAGGCAGUGCAAAGACACCUGUGAUUUCUCUCAGCAUACUCCGAGCCACAUGGGUGCCAAAGGGGAAAGAAGAUGACAGAAGAUCCACCAUCUUCCCAGGGCACGGCUUUGAAAUGCAAAUUCGUUUCCACUUGACCACAGACCAAGAAGGCACGAUGGGCAUCGGCAAUGAAGGAGGCGUUCAGAGAUCCGGCGGCAAGAAAGGGGAAAAGUGGACUGAAAAUAAAAGUGUGCAGAGCUUCCGGGACCCGUGGGACAAUGACCAUCUAACAUUCGUGUCCCUGGAGUCCCCAGCCUUUGGCCAGGGAGAGACAGGACACCAAGGGGAACUGGAGAGGAAAUUCCACUCCUUCCAGAAGCCUUUCCGAAAUGCAAUCGUUUAUAUCCUGCCUGAACACAUUCUGCAAGGCCAGUCUUUGCACUUCUGCUGUUCAUGAAGCUGAGCCUGCUCUGCAUCCGCCCCUUUGUGACCGCUCUCCCUCCGGCCUGCCUCGCUCCUGCUUCCCUCCCGGUGCCUUCCCUGAGCACGCAUCCCAUCAGCACGCUAGCACAGGGGAAUUAAUUGUCCAACACAUCUGACUUCCCUGGGUGCAUGUCCCAAGGCCAGAAAAAACCUUCAAGUGGAUAUUUUCAGGAGUCAGUGAGAAGGAGAAGUGAGCCUUCAAGAGAUUCAGCAACCUGCUGAAAGCGGAACCGGUGUUCAAACAGAGGUUCCCAUGUGACUAAAGCUAAGUACCAAAUGACUCCCAUGUGGGGUUGAACAAGCUGCUAGAAAGGUGAAGAACCUGUCUUCUCUUCAGGUUCUUAAAAAUGGUGGCUUCAGAGUGAAAUCUGCAUUUGGCACCGGCAAGGGAUUGGAACUUGGCGUUGUUACUUAAACUUCCUUGAUGAUGAGACUCACCUGGGCAAUUGUUGGAAAUACCUGGUCCUUCUCAGGUCUGCUGAAUCCCUGUCUCCUCGCAGAGGAACCCAGAGGAGUCUGAUGACCAGAGAAACAGAAAUGCUGGACGAUGGUCACAAUUCUGGCUUCCCAUUAGGACUACACGGAGAGAGGCACCUGGCUGGCUUGGUGGGUAGAGCAUGCAACAACUCUUGAUCUCCAGGUGGUGAGUUCAGGCUCCAUGU